rnacentral:lncRNA from 1 species
UCCGACUGGGCGAACGUCAGGUUGCGUAAUUAAUAUUCAUGAGACAAACCCUUGCAGCUCUCUGCUGAAAACACAGAUCUUACACAAGCGUCGAUCAGAGAGUUUGAUAACUACUUCAUCAUGGACUUCGAUCUGGGCGCAGCUGUUGGAGAUGAUCAGGUGAAGAAGUCGGAGGGCAAACAGGUGGAAGGUAUCUUUGGGUUUGGAAAGAAGGAUAAAGACAAAGAAAAGGGCAAGGAAAAGAGCAAAGACAAGAGUGAUUCUAAGCAUAAGGAUGAACACAAAAAACACAAAGAUAAAGAACAUAAAGACAAAGGCAAGAAGAAGAAGAAAGACAAGGAACACAAGAAGAAGGGCGGUGGCAAGUCCUCCUCUUCCUCCAGCGAUUCAGUAAUUAUUUCGCUUUUUUAACACAAUUUUAAUGCACAUAUUAUAUUAAUGCACAGGUGCAAUCUGAAGGUAUCAACAUGAGGAGCA